rnacentral:piRNA from 1 species
CCUUCACAUGUAAUGAUGCGUCAGUGUUGC